GGUGAACGCUGGCGGCGUGCCUAAUACAUGCAAGUCGAGCGAAUGGAUUGAGAGCUUGCUCUUAUGAAGUUAGCGGCGGACGGGUGAGUAACACGUGGGUAACCUGCCCAUAAGACUGGGAUGACUCCGGGAAACCGGGGCUAAUACCGGAUAACAUUUUGAACCGCAUGGUUCGAAAUUGAAAGGCGGCUUCGGCUGUCACUUAUGGAUGGAACCGCGUCGCAUUAGCUAGUUGGUGAGGUAACGGCUCACCAAGGCAACGAUGCGUAGCCGACCUGAGAGGGUGAUCGGCCACACUGGGACUGAGAAACGGCCCAGACUCCUACGGGAGGCAGCAGUAGGGAAUCUUCCGCAAUGGACGAAAGUCUGACGGAGCAACGCCGCGUGAGUGAUGAAGGCUUUCGGGUCGUAAAACUCUGUUGUUAGGGAAGAACAAGUGCUAGUUGAAUAAGCUGGCACCUUGACGGUACCUAACCAGAAAGCCACGGCUAACUACGUGCCAGCAGCCGCAGUAA
rnacentral:rRNA from 1 species